ACGGAUGAUUUCUUCGGAAUGAAACUAGAUAUGACUUAGUGGCGGACGGGUGAGUAACACGUGAGCAACCUGCCUUUCAGAGGGGGAUAACAACGGGAAACUGUUGCUAAUACCGCAUGAGACCACAACACCGCAUGAUGAAGGGGUCAAAGAUUUAUCGCUUUGAGAGGGGUUCGCGUCCCAUUAGGUAGUUGGAGGGGUAACGGCCCACCAAGCCAACGAUGGGUAGCCGGACUGAGAGGUUGAACGGCCACAUUGGGACUGAGACACGGCCCAGACUCC
rnacentral:rRNA from 1 species